CCCUCACCCCCGUCCUGACCCCCAGGAGGCUCUGAAGUUGGGGUUCUUCCUCCCACGGAGCCAGGCCCGCAGACGGGUCUCAAAUGGUACCUGAACGUCCUGAUCGGGGUCUCGGUGGCCUUCGUCCUGCUGUUCCUCGUCCUCCUCUUCCUCCUCGGCCGACACCGGGGUCAGGGAAGACGCAGGCAGUCGGGUGAGUAGGGAACGGGGUGACCCAGGCCCCUGCAGGUGGUGGGCUUAGGGCACCAGCCAAAGGGAAACCUAAGAGAUGGGCAAGGUCAGCUUAGAAAAAGAUUGUCCAGAGUCUGAAACUCAAAAGUCUAGAAAGAAAACACGUCCUGUCCGCUGACAUGUAUAAUUUAAGAUAUGUUCCUCCUUUUCAAUCUCAUGAAGGGUUGAAACAUGUACGCAAGUAUGAGUUCCGGUCUCCUUCUUUCCCCCUGAAUCCCGUGUGAGGGGCGGGGGUCGUAACAGUCCCAGGGCCGAGCCUCCGUCAUCUGCCCCAGCCCAGGGCGAGGCUGAUUUCCACCCUCCCGCAGGGGCUGCAGACCCAGAGCCCAAGGACAGAGGCCUGCAGAGCAGCUCCUGCCCAGCCGCCGCCGCCCAGGACCAGGCCCUCUAUGCUGCCGUGAAGGACACACAGCCUGAGGAGGCGGAGCAGCCGGACCAUCCGGUGAGACCCCUGCUCCUGUCCGGGCCACCAAAGACCUUCUUGUUGCCAAACUCAGCCCAAUGGACACGUCUCCGUCCUCACAUCCCAGCCCCAGCAGCGUCCCACACUGACCUCUCCCUCCGGGCUUCCUGGGUCGUCCUGCUGCGACUCCACCCCUCCCGCUUCCCUGUGACCUCAUGGCCCCUCCUUCGGGGUCCCCUUUCCUGGCUCCUCGCCCUCUGUCUGACCUUCUGGCGUUGCAGAGAAGCCCCACGUCUCAAGAGGAUAUGUGAAUAAGUGAAUCACCUGAAAGUCCCCAGGUCCCCUUCCCUCAUUCACCCAAAAGUGGUGCACAAGGAGAGCACAUCCCCCCGGCUCCCUGUACAUGCUGCACGUGCAGCAGGGAGCUCACCGGGUGGGUGAGAGAGACUGUAUGUAAAAAAGCAGGUAGUGUUCUAGAAUGCAAGGUCCUGAUAAGGAAAGUAAAGCAAGAGAAGGUGACAGAGUGCAUGGGGGGGCAGCAAGUGCUAAGGUCCUGAGGCAGGGACAUGCUUUCUCAAGAAGAUGGCCGUGCGGCUGCAGCCAAAAGAACAAGAGAGAUAACGUGUUAACACAGAAAUCAGAACGGUAGAAAGAAUCCAGAGGCUCCAAGGUGUUAGGAAGGUCCCCGGAGUUUCCAUCAGGAAAGUGACCUGCCCUAAGGUUCUAAAGCAUCACUCUGGCAACACAGGGGAAAGCUGACGGGAGGAGAUCACAGUGGAUCCAGGAAGUCCCCUUUCUGUCCUACUCUCUCCCUCCAGCAGAACAGGCAGGAUGCAGACCCCCGGGAGGGGACGGACGCCCAGGUGAACCACUCAAGAUCAGGACUAAGGCGGGGGGUGGCCACUUCUCCUUCCUCCCUGUCAGGGAGAUUGCUGGACACGAAGGACAGACAAGCGGAAGAGGACGUGCAGAGGGAGAGUCAGGUGGGUCCCUUCCUGUCUGGGCCCCCAGGCUUCCCCCACCCCAACCACACACCCUCCCUCUCCCCCACCGCCGGCCGUCGCAUCUGAAGCCCCCCAGGAUGUGACCUCUGCCCAGCUGAACCACUCGACCUUCAGACGGGAGACUGCACCCCCUGCCCCCCAGUCAGGGGAGCCCCCAGAAGAGCCCAGCGUGUAUGCUUCUCUCGCCGUCCGCUAGCCCAGGAAGGACCCAGACCCCAUGCUCCAGGGAGGAAGACUGCACGGACCCUGGAAGGCACAGGAGCUGCCCGCAGUGGACACCACCUAAUGACCAUUAGCCUGGACUCCCAACCAGGAGCUCCUGGGACCUUUUGGGAGUCACCGGAUUCUACCUUCAAAGAUAACUAAUAUCCUUACAUUUGGGAAAUAAUGCAACAGACUUCUCAAAAAUCGAUGUGUGAAGGAAACCAAAAUCAAAGCCAACAAGAAAACAAAACAGAAGUGGGAAAAUGUUUUCAAUGAAUGAUAAUGUAAAUAAUACACAUCAAACCUACGAAUUGAGAAAAUUAAGAAUCAUGAAUGAAUAUAUUAGAAAAGCCUUUAAAGAAAUCGACGACGUAACGUAUCACACCAAGACUUUAGGAAAAAAUAGCAAAUUAUUUCAAAUGAAGGUAGAAGGCGGGAAUAAUAAUGACAAGGGUAGCUAAUAAUGAAGACAAUCAAGAAGUAGAGAAAAUCAAUUAAGGCAAAAAAUAAACUCAUUCUUGAAAACAUUCAUGAAUCCUAGCCACCAUGGCCGAGGGAAAAAGAGAGAAGGCACACAUUUCUAAUAUGAUGAAAGAAACUGCAGACAGCACUACAAAUCCUACAGACUUUAUAAAGAUAGGAACAGAACAUUAUGAAAAAUUUGACGCCAACAUACAGAAAAUGUAGAUGGAAUGGAAAUCUUUCAGUGUACAAUUUACUAAAUGGACGUAAUAAAUGGACAAUCUAUCACCUUAUACAUUGACUCUAAUCAAAAAUUACACACGACUGAACUAGAAUCUAAAAAUGUCACAAUGAAAGAAAUAGAGAGUAGAAUGGUGGUUACCGGGCUUGGAGCGAGGGGGAAAUGGGAAGAUACUGGUCAAAGGGCACAAGCUUCCAGUUAUAAGAUGAAUAAAUUCUGGGGAUCUACUAUACAGCAUGGUGGUUAUAGCUAAUCACACUGUAUCCCAUUCUUGAGUGUUCUGAAGAGAGUAGAUCUUAAAUGUUCUCACCAAAAAAAGAAAUGGCAACUAUGUGAUGGGAUGGAGACAAAUGCUAUGGUGGUCAUCAUUUUCCGAUGUGUAAGUGUACAGUUCAGGAGGCUUCACUGGUGAUUUCUUCCAAGCACUUAUGUACUCAUGAAAGACACACAUGCACACACCCCAAAAUUGCACAAACAUUUCCUGAGAACAGUAAAGAAGAAACAUAUCUCAACACAUCAGACCAGGAAAAUAUUUACACCAAAACCUGACAAGGGAAUUAUACAUGGGAAAGUUACAGGAGGAUCUCUCACAUGAGCUUAGAUGGAAAUCCCUAAACAAAGUGAACACAAAUAAGAUUUAGUGAUAUAUUAAAAGAACAUUACUUCAUGACCAUACUGUGGGGUGUUUUUUUUUUGAAGGGUAGAGUAGCUUAAAAUUUUUAAAAUCUAUCACA